rnacentral:rRNA from 1 species
UGGCGGACGGGUGAGUAAUGUCUGGGAAACUGCCUGAUGGAGGGGGAUAACUACUGGAAACGGUAGCUAAUACCGCAUAACGUCGCAAGACCAAAGGGGGGGACCUUAGGGCCUCUUGCCAUCGGAUGUGCCCAGAUGGGAUUAGCUUGUUGGUGGGGUAACGGCUCACCAAGGCGACGAUCCCUAGCUGGUCUGAGAGGAUGACCAGCCACACUGGAACUGAGACACGGUCCAG